rnacentral:rRNA from 1 species
CGAACGCUGGCGGCGUGCCUAAUACAUGCAAGUCGAACGCACGAAGUUGAAGAGCUUGCUCUUUAACGAAGUGAGUGGCGGACGGGUGAGUAACACGUGGGUGACGCGCAUAUUAGAGGGGGAUAACAUUCGGAAACGGAUGCUAAUACCGCAUAGUUUCAGGRAUCGCAUGAUUCUUGAAGGAAAGGUGGCUUCGGCUACCACUAAUGGAUGGACCCGCGGCGUAUUAGCUAGUUGGUGAGGUAAUGGCUCACCAAGGCAAUGAUACGUAGCCGACCUGAGAGGGUCAUCGGCCACACUGGGACUGAGACACGGCCCAGACUCCUACGGGAGGCAGCAGUAGGGAAUCUUCCGCAAUGGACGAAAGUCUGACGGAGCAACGCCGCGUGAGUGAAGAAGGUUUUCGGAUCGUAAAACUCUGUUGUUAAAGAAGAACAAGGAUGAGAGUAACUGCUCAUCUCCUGACGGUAUUUAACCAGAAAGCCACGGCUAACUACGUGCCAGCAGCCGCGGUAAUACGUAGGUGGCUAGCGUUGUCCGGAUUUAUUGGGCGUAAAGCGAGCGCAGGCGGUUCUUUAAGUCUGAUGUGAAAGCCGCGGG